CCUACGGUGGGCAGCAGUGGGGAAUAUUGCACAAUGGGGGAAACCCUGAUGCAGCGACGCCGCGUGAGUGAAGAAGUAUCUCGGUACGUAAAGCUCUAUCAGCAGGGAAGAAAAUGACGGUACCUGACUAAGAAGCCCCGGCUAACUACGUGCCAGCCGCCGCGGUAAUACGUAGGGGGCAAGCGUUAUCCGGAUUUUAUGGGUGUAAAGGGAGCGGAGACGGCAGCACAAGUCUGGAGUGAAAUCCCGGGGCUUAACCCAGGCACUGCUUUGGAAACUGUGCGGCUGGAGUGCAGGCAGGGUAAGCGGAAUUCCUAGUGUAGCGGUGAAAUGCGUAGAUAUUAGGAGGAACACCGGUGGCGAAGGCGGCUUACUGGACUGUAACUGACGUUGAGGCUCGAAAGCGUGGGGAGCAAACAGGAUUAGAUACCCGGGUAGUC
rnacentral:rRNA from 1 species